rnacentral:lncRNA from 1 species
UUUUUAAUUCAAAAAUUUUGGUCUUGUUAGGGGUACCAUAUCUUUUCUCAAUUUGGGACCAUAUACUCUGUGCAGUAUCGGAAUACUGCACACUAUAGCAAUUUGAGAAGACAGAGAGGAGGUCAACCAGGAAAUGACCAUGUUAUUACAUCUGUCCCACAGUCUCUGUUGAGCCACAUUAGUGGCAGGACGAGGACACGAAUCGUCAACAAAACCGAUUUUAUUUUUAGCGGAUAAAGCAGCAAUCAUCUUACGCCUCCAGUCCCCAUAACCACUACCCGAGAAGGGAGUGAGAACAAGAGAAACCCGAGGGACAUCAGAAGAAUAUACAAAAAGGGGGCUAGAAGAGUCUACAGAGGAGGAGGUACCAACAUUUGUGUUAGAAGCCAUAAUCAAUGAACCGGCUUAAAAAAACAGUUUUUCAACAAACAGAGUAUAACCAAAUCAGGUAUUCACACACAACACCGGAUACUCACAUACAGAGUUAGAUAAUCACACACAAAGCAUACAAUACUCAAGAUAAGGAUAGAGUUACCCUCCUUCUUCGCGACCGGAGAAGAUCGGUCUUCAAACAACAGAGAAAACCCUAGGUACAAAACCCUAGGUGUAAGCGUCGAAAUCCUUACUGGAAAUGUUGUCAGGGAUGUCAGAAAGGUACCCAAAACAUCCACUGAGUGAGAAUCGAGCCACCGGAUAGCAGUAAAACUCUAGGUUAAACCUCAGUCAGAGAAAACCCUAGGUACAAAACCCUAGGUGCAACCGUUGAAAACCUUACUGGAAAUAUGGGGAGGGAUGUCGGAAAGUCACUCUAAACAUCCACUGAGUGAGGAUCGAUCCACCGGAUAGCAUAAAACUCUAGGUUAAACCACCAGAAACCCUAGAAGCCGAUAGGUCACCGAAAAAUCACCCAAAAAUCAGCAGAAAAUCUCCCAGAACGUUCGAGUGAAGUGAUGAAAAACUCGGAAAGGCAUCUGAUCUAGGUCGGAAUCAUAAUCGACCACAAGGUCUCAGAAAAAAUCCCCAAAAAUCUCAAAGAAGAGUUCAACCAAGACAACGAGAUGCAGAGAAACAUAGUCGGAUCGUCGUCUAGGCUCUGAUACCAUGUAAACAUUGAGAUUAAACCGAAAAAUCAUGAAGAAUGUAGAGAGAGAAUCUAGAGAGAAGGAGGAGCGUCUGAGAGAAGACUCUGGAAGCCAGAGAAUUUUAUUAAACAAAAAACAAAAUGAAA